UACGUAGGGUGCAAGCGUUAAUCGGAAUUACUGGGCGUAAAGCGUGCGCAGGCGGUUUUGUAAGUCUGUCGUGAAAUCCCCGGGCUCAACCUUGGGAAUUGCGAUGGAGACUGCAAGGCUAGAAUCUGGCAGAGGGGGGGUAGAAUUCCACGUGUAGCAGUGAAAUGCGUAGAGAUGUGGAGGAACACCGAUGGCGAAGGCAGCCCCCUGGGUCAAGAUUGACGCUCAUGCACGAAAGCGUGGGGA
rnacentral:rRNA from 1 species